AGGCAAAUAAUAUAUAAAUGGUGUGUUCCUUAUGUGGUAUUUGUAACCAACAAUGUCACCAUCAUAUGCCCUUUAUUUGUCCCCAGUUAUAUGCCGGGAACAGAACAAAAGAAGGAUGAAUGCUCUAUCUUAAACAUGUUUAGAUGUGAUGACUCCUAAGCAUGGCUGAGAGUUUUAGCUACGAUGAAGAAAUGGAAAGCUAGCUGCCGUACUGCAAGUACACUGAAACUGCAAUGCUGUGAGAAGUCCAAGCCACAAGGAAAGUUGUUGGGGAGGAUGAGAGAGAGAGAGAAAGAGAGAAAGAGAGAAAGAGAGAGAGAGGUGGAGGAGAAUGCGCACAAAGAACACCUAUGUGCAAUACGUGUGAGUGAAGAAAUCUUUUAAGAAGUCUCUCCCCAGCUGCCCUAGCAAUCCAAGCUGAUGUCAAAUAUUAAAGAUAAAUCACCAAGUCGAGCCCUUCGUGGACACCUUAGCUCCAAUCAUAAAUCAAAUAAAAUGGUAGUUUUAUGCUGUUAAGUGGGUUCAGAGAUUUAUAUUAAUGCAUCAGUAAAUUCCUGGCACAUAUACCAUCUAUUAAUAUUUGAUGUAUGAAUGGUCAGAGGAAUACCCUGGAUGUUAGUGAAGGAAACAGAUGAUCAGAGAGAUAAGGAUUAAACUAGAAAACACAUUGCCACUGAAAUCCAAGAUACUAUUGAAGGGGUUGGUGGGAAUAAUGUAUAUAACAGAGAGAAUAGUGAUCCAGUGAAAAUGAUUAGUUUUGCUAAGGUCCACACUGAUCUCAUACAGACCAACUUUCGUGAGUGAAGAGCAAAACUAAAAUGGGGCAAGAAUGAGAUUUGUUUUUGGCAAAUUAGUAAUGUAUGCCAUUUUAAUAAUAUGGCACUUUAGACUAUUAACAACUGGAAGCAAGUUCUUUUUCAAAGAAAAAGAAAAACUUAGUGCUUAUUUUACUAGCAUAAGUUUAUUUUGUAAAAGAUAUGAUUUAUAAAUAAAAUGUGCAUCUCAAUUUAUUAAAAAUGUGUAUUAAUACAUCUUUUAAAUUUACAGAACCUACCAACCACACAAAAACAAUGAAGCUGUUCUAAUGAAAAUGAAAAUUUGAAAUGUGACCAUAUAAGUAACAGUUACUUUCUAAUAUCAAGUCUCAGCAGCCCAUUGAUUUGAAUGAUCUGUUUGGCAUGCACAAUAUUGAGGUGCUCCGUGGUGCUCCCUGCAUUCAUCCACUGUUACAAGAGUGAAUAUAUAUUCAUCUAAAAAGGAACAGUAUAAAGUUAUAAACUUCCUAAUGAAUACCACAUUUGUAAGAAUUUUAAAAUAUACAUAGAGAUGGCGUAAGAAGCUUUAUUCCAAUAUCCACUUAAAAAAAGUUAACCUAGGAAUUGAGUAUCACAGUCUCUCCAGUGUAUUAAAAUAUACCAUAUAUUGUAUCAUGUAUUUUUCUGGUUUUUAUAAGUCUAAAUAUGCUUAGAAAUUAUAUUUUUAUUAAACAUUGUGUGACUCUGGAAGCUUCUCUGUAGCACACUUGGAAAACUACUGGUUUAGAUUAAAUGAAAGGAAAUCUUCAAGGCACUUUGCUUUCAGCAUACUAUUUUAGGUAUAAAGCAAUUUCAUCUGAGUAUAAAAAGUAUAUUCUCCAUGCUUUAAUCUGUUUUUGUUUUAUCUUUAAUUACAAUUUUACCAAAUUUCAAAUAAAAGUGUUCUUUUUUUUAAGUGAAACUUCUCAUGAAAAUAAGUAAUUUCUUCCUGGAUUAUUUGCUUUUUAGAAUUUUUUGCCCUUUUUUGUAUAAAGACCUUGAUGACAGGCUGUACGGCUCACUAAAUUCUGCCCAAUACCAUGCAAGGACAAUGGGAUAGUCUUUCAGUUUGCUUAUAUUAUUAGCUAUUAUGUCAGUAUUAAAGAUAUCAGAAAGCAUUUUAACCUCAUAGAUGAAGCAGACAGCAACUAAAUAAGUACUGUGACACCUGUUAGUCUCAAUCAAGACUUUAGGUAUCGUUAGCAAAGAAGCAUGUCGGGGCAUGAGUAGAGGCUCAACCGUGUCUACUUCAAGGUUGGAAUUGCCCUAACCCUGCAAAUAGCUUGUAAUAUGGACACCUCUGUUUUGGAUACAAGAGGAAGAGAACUAUUCUGAUGUUACAGUUUAUGAAAUGUAACACCAUUGUCUGGUUCUGUUAUUAAGUGCAGUUGUUCACACCUAACCACAUAUUUAUCAUCUUGCAUUGUUAUCUCAAGAUAUUUAUUCUCUAAUGAAUCUCUAAUGGGAGAUUAUGCAGGAGGUCUUGUCUCCCCUAUUUAGCUGUAAGCUCUUUGAAGACAAUGGGCAAUAUCUCAUAAUUUUACUCGCUACUGUACAAAGUAGUUUGGGUCACACACUAAGCAUGCAAUAAAGGUUAAUUAACUAAUUAAUAUAAUACUUAUUGACCUCCCAUCUCAUGCCAGUGGUUAUGCUAGGUACUAUAUACACAAUAGUGAGUAUGGUUCUGUUCCCUUAAUAAUUUUCAAAGGCAAAAAGACAUGCACACACACACACACACACACACACACACAUACACACAUACCUCUAUAGGACAGAGGUUGCUAUGUGUGAUUUUCUGGAUUACAAUAGCAUUAGAACUUAGUUGAAUCUCAAACUUGUUGUAUUAUCAGUAUUAUCAUAGAUAAACCAGAGUUUUGCUGUUAAUUUAUCAAAGACCGUUAAGUAUUAACCAUGUUAUAAAAAUAUGGAGACUUCUGUUCUUAAGAUUUUUAUUUCUUUUUAUUACAAUUUUAAAAUCUAGGUGUAAUAACUUAGCAAUGAAUAAUAAUUAAAAAAUUAAUAACAGUGUGAAAAUUCUUUGUAUUUCAGUUUUUUAGUGUAUUUUGAAUGUUCAAUCUGGUAAAGUUUUGUGUUUUCUAAGAAAAAUAUUUAGAAAAUGGUUCGUGUUCAGGAUUUAUCUUCAUUAUGCAUUAUAAAUGGAAAGAAACUUAAAGUAAAUCUUAAUGCCACUGAAAGAUCCUCUUCCAAGUUGAAACUUACCUUAAAAUGUGCAUGGUCUUGAAUCUCUUAGACUCUGAGCCUUCCCCGAGUCCUUUAUAUCCCUUCUUAACUAAAGCUCUGGCCCGGGAUUUCCUAUUUGCCAGCAUAGAACAAAGAACAUUAGGAAUAACAAGAUGGAAAAUAAAGGAAGCGAUCAUUCAAACCCGAGAAGGAUGGUAAAACACACUGGUGUUGUGUGGUAACAUUAUAUUUCAUCCUUCCCUUCAUUUCCCAGAACUCUCGGCUGCCAGUAUGAAACAAGGUUUUUGACAGGGUCUGAAUCGCAUUCCCCCCACUUCAUAUUUUGAAGCCCUAACCUCCAGUGUGGCUGUAUUGAAGAUAGGGCCUAUAAAGAGGUAAUUACAGUUAAAUGAGGUCAUAAGAGUGGGGCCCUGAUCUGGCAGGUUUAGUGCCCUUGUAAGAAGAGACACCAGAGAGCUUGCUCUUUCUCUCCCUCUCCCCACUUGGAUAAGCACAAAGGAGAGGUCACAAGAGUCCACAGUGAGAUGGUGGCAGCCUGCAAGCCAAGGGAGGAGGCCUCAGAAUGAAACCUGCCUUACCAGUACCUUGAUCUUGGACUUCCCAGCCUCUAAAUCUAUGAGAAAUAAAUUUUUAUUGUUUAAACCUGUCUGUCUGUGGUAUUUCAUUAUGGCAGCUGCAGAAGACUAAUGCAGUCUUCAAGAUUCAAGCUCUGAACUUCCUAAAAAUGAUAAAUCUCCUUCAGGAUAAAACCAAAUUGGAAAAUUCUUGAUGGAGUUCUCAAAAUCUCUGAAAUAUAUGUUAUUUGGAAAGAAGAACAAUUGAAUCUCUCAUAGUGAUGAAUUUGAGGAUACUAUAUGAUCAAGCACAUAGAUAGAUGCCUUGCUAGUAGCAAACACCAUUUCCCAGGAGGAUUGUUCAGGCCUGCCCUGGCUGAACUGACUAUUCAAGGGGUGCUACGGGCCUCAGAGG
rnacentral:lncRNA from 1 species